rnacentral:rRNA from 1 species
UACGUAGGGUGCGAGCGUUGUCCGAGAUUACUGGGCGUAAAGAGCUCGUAGGUGGUUUGUCGCGUUGUUCGUGAAAACUCACAGCUUAACUGUGGGCGUGCGGGCGAUACGGGCAGACUGGAGUACUGCAGGGGAGACUGGAAUUCCUGGUGUAGCGGUGGAAUGCGCAGAUAUCAGGAGGAACACCGGUGGCGAAGGCGGGUCUCUGGGCCGUAACUGACGCUGAGGAGCGAAAGCAUGGGGAGCGAACAGG